UGAGGAAUAUUGGUCAAUGGGCGAGAGCCUGAACCAGCCAAGUAGCGUGCAGGAUGACGGCCCUAUGGGUUGUAAACUGCUUUUAUGUGGGGAUAAAGUGCGUGACGUGUCAUGCAUUGCAGGUACCACAUGAAUAAGGACCGGCUAAUUCCGUGCCAGCAGCCGCGGUAAUACGGAAGGUCCGGGCGUUAUCCGGAUUUAUUGGGUUUAAAGGGAGCGUAGGCUGUCUAUUAAGCGUGUUGUGAAAUUUACCGGCUCAACCGGUGGCUUGCAGCGCGAACUGGUCGACUUGAGUAUGCAGGAAGUAGGCGGAAUUCAUGGUGUAGCGGUGAAAUGCUUAGAUAUCAUGACGAACUCCGAUUGCGCAGGCAGCUUACUGUAGCAUAACUGACGCUGAUGCUCGAAAGUGCGGGUAUCAAACAAG
rnacentral:rRNA from 1 species